rnacentral:rRNA from 1 species
CGGCUCAGUAACACGUGGAUAACCUACCCUUGAGACGGGGAUAAACCCGGGAAACUGGGUAUAAUACCCGAUAGAUCUCGACUGCUGGAAUGCAUCGAGAUCCAAAGCUCCGGCGCUCAAGGAUGGAUCUGCGGCCUAUCAGGUAGUAGUGGGUGUAGCGUACCUACUAGCCUACGACGGGUACGGGUUGUGAGAGCAAGAGCCCGGAGAUGGAUUCUGAGACACGAAUCCAGGCCCUACGGGGUGCAGCAGGCGCGAAAACUUUACAAUGCUGGAAACAGCGAUAAGGGGACCUCGAGUGCCAGGUUACAAAUCUGGCUGUCGUGAUGCCUAAAAAGCAUUGCAUAGCAAGGGCCGGGCAAGACCGGUGCCAGCCGCCGCGGUAACACCGGCGGCUCGAGUGGUAACCGUUAUUAUUGGGUCUAAAGGGUCUGUAGCCGGCCGGAUAAGUCUCUUGGGAAAUCUGGCAGCUUAACUGUCAGGCUUUCAGGAGAUACUGUCUGGCUCGAGGCCGGGAGAGGUGAGAGGUACUUCAGGGGUAGGGGUGAAAUCUUGUAAUCCUUGAAGGACCACCAGUGGCGAAGGCGUCUCACCAGAACGGACCUGACGGCAAGGGACGAAAGCUAGGGGCACGAACCGGAUUAGAUACCCGGGUAGUCCUAGC